rnacentral:rRNA from 1 species
AGUGAACGCUGGCGGUAGGCCUAACACAUGCAAGUCGAACGGCAGCACAGUAAGAGCUUGCUCUUACGGGUGGCGAGUGGCGGACGGGUGAGGAAUACAUCGGAAUCUACUUUUUCGUGGGGGAUAACGUAGGGAAACUUACGCUAAUACCGCAUACGACCUACGGGUGAAAGCAGGGGAUCUUCGGACCUUGCGCGAUUGAAUGAGCCGAUGUCGGAUUAGCUAGUUGGCGGGGUAAAGGCCCACCAAGGCGACGAUCCGUAGCUGGUCUGAGAGGAUGAUCAGCCACACUGGAACUGAGACACGGUCCAGACUCCUACGGGAGGCAGCAGUGGGGAAUAUUGGACAAUGGGCGCAAGCCUGAUCCAGCUAUACCGCGGGGGUGAAGAAGGCCUUCGGGUUGUAAAGCCCUUUUGUUGGGAAAGAAAAGCAGCAGGUUAAUACCCCGCUGUUCGGACGGGACCCAAAGAAUAAGCACCGGCGAACUUCGG